GGGAGCCAGGAGCUGCUCUCGGUGCCCGGGCGGCUCCCACCUCUCACGGACUGAGUGCCCCGGGUGCUGACUCAUGCUCGUACUCUCCCGUCCAGCCGGGUGCACGCCCACGACGUGCCCUCCUUCUCGCUUCUCCACUGCUUCCUCCCAGGCGCUUCCAGGCGCCCACACGCGCGCUCCCGUCCCGCCGCCGCCCCUCCUAGCAACCGCCCUCCGCUCCCCCUGCCAGAUCCGGAAACGGGCGGUCUGGUCCGUCGCUGCCUCCGGAACCCUGCAAGCCGCUAGGCCUCCGCCUCCGCCUCCGGCUCCCCUGCCCUCUGCUGAAACCACCCUGCUGAAGGUCGACCCAGCCCGCCUGCCCCGCGAGGACAGGUGGCCCUGGGCCUCCCACUCCCGCUCCCGCCCUGCGGCGCCGAUGCUCCGGCAGCCGCCUCUUCCCGGAUGGACCUGCUCGCUCCCCUGGUUUCCAUGACACUGCACUUUCCCACGCCGCCUCCGAGUUUCUGACAGCUCGUUUCCUCGCUGGCAUCGCCCCCCCCCUCAGCCUCUCCCCGUGGGCCUGCCCGAGGCGCUGCCCUGGGCUCUCUCUCCCUCCUCCCGCUUGCGUGCCCACGGGCUCCCCCUCCGCCCCUGCCUCGUGCCACCCCCCCCCCCCCCCACUGCUGCCUCUCCAGCGGCUGCCGUCCCUCCGUAGCCCCCAGUCCCACGUGGCUAGGGCUUACGGAACUCUUACCCUACCCCCACCCCAUGUCCUAAAUCACUGGACGUCAGACUGGUGCCCCUGGAGGUGUUCAGGCGUGGUCUGGCCCGCCAGCCACAUGACCUGGUGGGAUGUCCUGGAGGUGACUUCACAUGCCCCCUGCGCCUGAGCCCCGCGGCAGGCCUGCGCGAGUGGCCCAGUGUGGAAGACAAAUGAUAUAUUCACCCUUCUUCAGGGGUCAAGGAGGAGAAAGCAUCAGGGAGGAGGAAACACAGGUGUAAAAUACCACGGAAAGAACAAGGAAGCGGUGUUUGCAAAGUGGUCCGCUGGAGUUGAGUUUGGCAAACUGCUGACUUUGAGAGAGGUUUCUGAGGAAAGAAGUGGAUUGUCAGUAUGACAGCCUAUGAGUCAAGUGAAGAAGCCCAUGAAAAUAUUUUAUGCUGCCAAGUUUGGCCAGCUUGUACGGACAACUGACUGAUAACUUGCGGUAUGGACUGGAAGCAAGAAUUUAGGGCAAGUGUAUGAGGAGUUGGCCAUCGACACCCGGGAGAUGCAUUGGCAGAAACCUGGCCCCGUCUGGCAGAGACUUCGAUCCUGGGACUUGAGGUUUUUGCUGUUGCCUGAAAGACCUGGUUUUUAACUCAUCUGAAAAUAGGAAGAGACAUUAAUUAGACAACUUAAUAAAAAGGCUAAGGAGUCAAACUGGAAGUGGUUUAGUAGACAAGGAAACUUUUACUGCACUACUUUAGGACAUCACCAAAUAAUUUUGGACCUUAGGAUGAAGAGCGGAUCCUAGAGAUAGUGUCAGAUGGUUUCUUCAAACUACUUUUCUGGUUCUUUCGUUCGGGGUUUUUGUUUUUGAAUACAGUCAUUUAUAUCAUUUUCUUCCACUCGCAUCAUUUUGAGUGGGAAUUAUCUUUCAGCAUCUGAUCCAGUCAGAGGAGACAGUUAAACAGAGUAGGAGUCAACGUUUACUAGCACUUUCUUUGUGUAAGGGACCGUUGGAAGCGCACAUACUCAUUUAAUCCUCUCAGUGACACCGUCAGGUAAUAUCAUCCCAUAAAUAAGUGACUGUUAUUAUCUUUGUUUUAUAGAUAUUGAAACUUAGGCACAAAAGGUUAAGUACUUUGCCCAGGGUCGCACAGGUAGAAAAGCCAGGAUUAAAGGCCAGACAGUUCUGCCUGCCAAGGGCAAACUUUGAACCAUUGCGCUAUAUUUUUUCAAUAUAUAAAUAUGCAUGUAUGUAUAUACUUAAGUGGUACUUUAUUGCUCCUGCAACAAAUGACCACAAGCCUACUGGUUAAAACAGCAUGCGGUUAUUAUCUUAGCAUCAUGGAGGUCAGAAGUCCGAAAUGGACGUCACCAGGGCUGCGUUCCUUCUGGAGGCUCUAGGGAGAAUCUGUUUCCUUGCUUUUUUUAUUUUCUAGAGGUUACCUGCAUCCCUCCACUCUUGGCUCCCUUCCCCCAUCUUCAAAGGCAGAAGUGUCACACUUUCGGUUCUCUCUCUGACUCUGACAAUGAUUCUCCUGUCUCCCUCUUUUGCUUGUAAGGACACUUGAGAUUACAUCUGGAUAAUCCAGGAUCAUCUCUUGAUUGUAAGGUCAUUGACUAGCAACCCUAAUUCCAUCUGCAACCUGAAUUACUCCUUGCCACAUAGCAUAACAUGUUCACGGGUUCCGGGAGUUGGGACAUGGAUAUCUUAGCGAGGUCGCCAUCCUGCCAACCGUAACUUUCUUAGUUCACACUCCGAAACUUAAAACCCAAAACGGUGUCCAGUGGAUAAUCUCCCUCUAUGUCUGCUCCCUGGCCACAUAGCUCCCUUCCUCAGAAGCAUCUGAUGUUAUCCUGUGUCCUAGAUAUAUUUUAUGCAUGUAAAGGCAAAUAUGGAUAUUUGUUAUUUUUUUAAUUGUUUGAUCUUCCCUACAAACACUGUCCUACAUAUUGCUUGUUUUCAUUUAAAAGCUAUGUCCUGGGGAUCGGUCAGGUUGAUAUAUAAAGAUCUGGGUGUCCUUCUUUUCUGUGUCUACAUCAUCUUCCACUCCAUGAGUGUAUAUUAUGUUGUAUUUACCUUCACUUAGCCCACAGGACAGGUGGGGGGGGGGUCUCCAAUCUUUCAGUUGUUUUCAGUGUUUUGCGAUACAAACAAUGCUGUAGUGAACAGCUUUGUACCCUUAUUUGGAAAGUGUAGAGUGGGUCUAUAGGAUUAACCUCUAGAAGGAGAAUGACAGGGUCAUGGAGUCUGUGCAUGUGUCAUUUAGCUAGCUAAUGAGAAACUGCCUUCUUUUACCCUUUCCAAUUAGGAAUUAAAAAAAUAAAUAAAGGGGCGCCUGGGCGGCUCAGUCGGUUAAGCAUCCAACUUCGGCUCAGGUCACGAUCUCAUGGCUCAUGAGUUCAAGCCCCAAUCAGGCUCUGUGCUGACAGCUCAGAGCCUGGAGUCUGCUUCAGAUUCUUUGUCUCCCUCUCUCUCUGCCCCUCCCCUGCUCACACUCUGUCUCUCCCCCAAAAUAAAAUAAACAUUAAAAAAGUUUUAAAAAAUAAAUAAAAAUAAAUAAAGAACUUAUGUUUACCUAACAAAUGUAAUAAAUAGCUCUUGAUGUCUAGGAAUGUGUUCUAAAAAUGUCAGUAGAUAUGUUAUUUGCUUUUCAUUAUUGUCUUUUAAUCCUCUUAACAUUUCAAGUUUAACAGCCUGUUUUGCUUUUAUUGUAAUUUUUAAAUUUUCUUCUUUAUGGUGAGUGAUAUUGGCUUUCUGUUUAUAAAGUACUAUAAACUCCCAUUUAAAUAUAUUUCUUUGGGGAAAAAAAACAAUAUAUUUCUUUGGGACACCUGGGUGGCUCAGUUGGUUGAGCAUCUGGCUCUUGAUUUCAGCUCAGGUCAUGAUCUCAGGGCUGUGGGGUUGAGCCCACAUCAGGCUCCAUGUGGAGCCUGCUUAAGGUUCUUUCUCUCUCUCCCUCUGACCCUCUCCCCUGCUCUCUCUCGCUCUCUCUCAAAUUAAA